CUCUGGGUGAUGCCCAGGACUACACUCUAGUCAGCUCUGCCCAGAAGCCCAGCUUCCUAGUCAAGAAACCGUACUACUCUAUCUCCGCAAGACUUCUCCCAGGAACUCAAUUUUUCACAGCUCUGCAGGUCAAGUCAUCCCCAUCACAACUCUUCAGCUCUCCCACUGCAUCACAAAGCAGCCAAAGAUGAUACAGAAACCAGUGAACACGGCUACAUUCCAAUGAAACUGAAACAGGCGGUCUCUGUGGCCCGCCCUCAGGAGCCAGAACUGAGAACACAGGACAGGCUUACAACAAAAUCAUCAUGCAAGUGGUCCCUGGCUGAUAACAUGCAAAAGAGACCAGGACAGGAGACAAGGAGCCCUCUUUCACCGAACUGAAGUCAAGUUCCUCUGAGCCCUCCUCCUGACAAGACUUUGGC